AACAGCCAAUAGCUGAGCAGAAGAGACAUCAGAGUGGGAGUUCGACCUCUGAUUCUGACACCUUAAUGGAGAUUUUUCUCAACGUUAAGAACCAACACAGAGGCUUCUCACAAGUUUCUCACGAGAUGCUGCCCUUCAGAAGCCUCUGGAGCUGGGCAUUCCUUGCCUCACACCACUGAGAGAGGAAACACAAGUUACCAACGCACUCACGGCUAGUAAGAAUCAACCAGGCAGCUGGCAUUCAGAACUCC
rnacentral:lncRNA from 1 species